AUUGAACGCUGGCGGCAGGCCUAACACAUGCAAGUCGAGCGGAGCGGCGGACGGGUGAGUAAUGUCUGGGAAUCUGCCUGGUAGUGGGGGAUAACGUCCGGAAACGGGCGCUAAUACCGCAUACUAUCAGAUGAGCCUAGGUCGGAUUAGCUAGUUGGUGGGGUAAAGGCCUACCAAGGCGACGAUCCGUAACUGGUCUGAGAGGAUUAUCAGUGACACUGUAACUGAGACACGGUCCAGACUCCUACGGGAGGACGCAGUGGGGAAUAUUGGACAAUGGGCGAAAGCCUGAUCCAGCCAUGCCGCGUGUGUGAAGAAGGUCUUCGGAUUGUAAAGCACUUUAAGUUGGGAGGCGUUACCAACAGAAGAAGCACCGGCUAACUCCGUGCCAGCAGCCGCGGUAAUAC
rnacentral:rRNA from 1 species